UUCGGUGGAGCCGUCCUUGAAAUACCACCCUGGUUUGUUUGAGGUUCUAACCUUGGCCCGUGAUCCGGGUCGGGGACAGUGCAUGGUAGGCAGUUUGACUGGGGCGGUCUCCUCCCAAAGCGUAACGGAGGAGUACGAAGGUACGCUAGGUACGGUCGGAAAUCGUGCUGAUAGUGCAAUGGCAUAAGCGUGCUUAACUGCGAGACCGACAAGUCGAGCAGGUGCGAAAGCAGGUCAUAGUGAUCCGGUGGUUCUGUAUGGAAGGGCCAUCGCUCAACGGAUAAAAGGUACUCUGGGGAUAACAGGCUGAUACCGCCCAAGAGUUCAUAUCGACGGCGGUGUUUGGCACCUCGAUGUCGGCUCAUCUCAUCCUGGGGCUGUAGCCGGUCCCAAGGGUAUGGCUGUUCGCCAUUUAAAGAGGUACGUGAGCUGGGUUUAAAACGUCGUGAGACAGUUUGGUCCCUAUCUGCCGUGGGCGUUGGAUAUUUGAAGGGGGCUGCUCCUAGUACGAGAGGACCGGAGUGGACGAACCUCUGGUGUACCGGUUGUCACGCCAGUGGCAUCGCCGGGUAGCUAUGUUCGGAAGAGAUAACCGCUGAAAGCAUCUAAGCGGGAAACUCGCCUUAAGAUGAGAUAUCCCUGGGGACUAGAUCCCCUUGAAGGGUCGUUCGAGACCAGGACGUUGAUAGGUCGGGUGUGUAAGCGCAGUAAUGCGUUCAGCUAACCGAUACUAAUUGCCCGUAAGGCUUGAUCCUAUAACA
rnacentral:rRNA from 1 species